GCGAGAGCUAGGUUCCUGCUCUCCUGAAAGCCUCGGAGGCCCAGAGCGGGGAGCAGCGGGCCUGCAACCUGGGAACCCUGAAAGGAAGCAGGUCCUCUGUAAGAUGGGGCUGCAUCCCUGCCCCGCUCCCAGCAGCAUGGGGUCAGAUGCAAAAACUGAGGCUCAGGGGAGUGAAGUGACCCAUCCAAGGUCACACAGCUUGUCCGUGGCAGAGCUGGGUUUCAACCCCAGGGAGAAACCAAUGCAGUGCUGCAUAUCCAAUCACUAUUGAGUGCUUCUCCUUCGUCCAUAACAUUCAGCACGGAGAACAGUGCCUGGCACAUAGUAGGUGCUUAAUAAA
rnacentral:lncRNA from 1 species